CUUAACAUCCUCUUCAGGCCGACAAAAAAACAUUCUAAAACGAAAUCGAAGACAAAUCAAAAAUAGAACAUCUUGUUUAAAUUCUAAGCGUGACCAUGGCGACCUUCAAUGUUUACGAUAUUCACAAUUAACUUCUCAAAAAUCUUCAGACGUUGCAUGGUCCUAUCCUUAAAAAUUCUGUUUGGAUCGAUAAAAAACACUAUUAGUCCUACUACCCUCGUUUUUUUCAUAUAUAUAAAGGUCCACCUUUUCCUCCAUUAUAUCUUCCUGGUUAGUACUUACACAAGCCCUCCUUCUUUUGCUAGGGAAUAUCUCCAGGCCAUAGAGGGUUCCCACACUAGCUUGUCGUUAACGAGUUCUUCCCUUCCUGC
rnacentral:lncRNA from 1 species